AGGUUAAAACAAUAGACAAGUACCUAUCUUUUUCAAAGACAAAAAGUAGACUAUGUAAAACAACAGAAGUCUUAUGGUCUGUGAGAAACCUCAGUGAUUUGGGAGUUGAUGGUAUUUUUAUAAGGCAAUGGGUAUUUUUUCUAUAGUUGUCAUGGAACUGAUGUUGUGUCUCCAUUGCUUCAACAACCUUUUCUCUGGCAUUGAUGAAUGCAAUGCCCCUGCCUUCAUAUUCAUUCAGAAAACUGCUAGACAGAUGAUGAUUUUCCUAGUUCAUGGCUUUGACUUCCUUCUCCCCACAGACUCUCUCUGCUCUUUUGCCUAGAACUUGUACAUGUCCUCAUUUCCUACACCCACCAAGGCCUGUCACUGCUCAUUCUAUCACAGGCUUGACUUCUGCCAAACAGAAGGAUGCUUGGGGUAAACAACAAAGAUAUUUGCUUCAAAACUUAACCUCAAGGAAACUUCAACUGUUUGUUUCUAGGAAAGAAUAUUCUGAAGGCCAGUGGAUAUGAUCUCCUGGGUUUUGAACACCACUGGAGAAGUUAAUUCAAUCUCCUGAAAUUCGUACCCUUUCUGACAGCUGGUAGCUCUUCCUUUGAAACCUCACCUUUGCUGGGCUGAGCCUUACAGGGGAUGAGCUGUCUUUCUUGGAUCUCUCAUGUUAUUGCCUGGAGAUGAAGGAGGCACAAAACAGCAACCUGGCUCACAUUUCCUGGUUCACUGCAUCACAAUGACAUGGCUGCAAAUGACAAAUGUUGGAUGAAGAUGUGUGCAUGACAAAAAGCUUUGAUGGAAGCGUUUCCAGAGGAAAUCAGAGCAGAAGGCAGUCUCCCUCAUGAUGAAAGUACCUGUUUUCAACCCCUAACCUAUACGCAUCUGGGAAAGUUUAAACUGAAGGAAAAGAGGUAGCAGGUACUGUUCAUUUUUGUUCACUUGUUGCUCCUUAGUAUAUUCAGUUAAUGUUGAAAUUUUCAUAUAUAAUCCCAGAAUGAGAGUCUAGUUCUUUCUUUGCACUCAAGAGCUUUUUACUCUUAAUACUGCCUU